AUUGAACGCUGGCGGCAGGCCUAACACAUGCAAGUCGAACGAGGGGCGGACGGGUGAGUAACACGUGGGAACCUACCCAUCAGAGGGGGAUAACACUUGGAAACAGGUGCUAAUACCGCAAACUGAUGGAUGAACCCGCGGGGCAUUAGCUAGUUGGUGAGGUAACGGCUCACCAAGGCCACGAUGCAUAGCCGGCCUGAGAGGGUGAUCGGCCACACUGGAACUGAGACACGGCCCAGACUCCUACGGGAGGCAGCAGUGGGGAAUAUUGCACAAUGGGCGCAAGCCUGAUGCAGCCAUGCCGCGUGUAUGAAGAAGGCCUUCGGGUUGUAAAGUACUUUCAGCGGGGAGGCGUUACCCGCAGAAGAAGCACCGGCUAACUCCGUGCCAGCAGCCGCGGUAAUAC
rnacentral:rRNA from 1 species